rnacentral:rRNA from 1 species
GAUGAACGCUGGCGGCGUGCCUAAUACAUGCAAGUCGAACGGUAACAGGUCUUCGGAUGCUGACGAGUGACGAACGGGUGAGUAAUACAUCGGAACGUGCCCGAGAGUGGGGGGUAACGAGGCGAAAGCUUUGCUAAUACCGCAUACGAUCUCAGGAUGAAAGCAGGGGACCGCAAGGCCUUGCGCUCACGGAGCGGCCGAUGGCAGAUUAGGUAGUUGGUGGGAUAAAAGCUUACCAAGCCGACGAUCUGUAACUGGUCUGAGAGGACGACCAGCCACACUGGGACUGAGACACGGCCCAGACUCCUACGGGAGGCAGCAGUGGGGAAUUUUGGACAAUGGGCGCAAGCCUGAUCCAGCCAUGCCGCGUGCAGGAUGAAGGCCUUCGGGUUGUAAACUGCUUUUGUACGGAACGAAAAGACUCCUUCUAAUAAAGGGGGUCCAUGACGGUACCGUAAGAAUAAGCACCGGCUAACUACGUGCCAGCAGCCGCCGUAA